AGGUGUUCUUGUGUUUGUUUCCAGGAAAUCACAGUACCUGAUGUGACAAAGCAGACUGAUGAUAUCAAUGAGCACAUUCAACAGGAAAUCACAGUACCUGAUGUGACAAAGCAGACUGCUAAUAUCAAUGAGCACAUUCAGGAAAUCACAGUACCUGAUGUGACAAAGCAGACUGAUGAUAACAAUGAGCACAUUCAACAGGAAAUCACAGUACCUGAUGUGACAAAGCAGACUGAUGAUAUCAAUGAGCACAUUCAGCAGG